CUGCUUCCUUUAGGAACUUCAAACGACUUGUUGGUAUUGAGGUUACCAGCUAAAGAAAGCAAAAAUAUGUCUGAAUGGCAAAGUUAUCAGCAUGAAAA